GCUUGCACCUUUCAAGCGAGUGGCGAACGGGUGAGUAACACGUGGAUAACCUGCCUCAAGGCUGGGGAUAACAUUUGGAAACAGAUGCUAAUACCGAAUAAAACUUAGUAUCGCAUGAUAUCAAGUUAAAAGGCGCUACGGCGUCACCUAGAGAUGGAUCCGCGGUGCAUUAGUUAGUUGGUGGGGUAAAGGCUUACCAAGACGAUGAUGCAUAGCCGAGUUGAGAGACUGAUCGGCCACAUUGGGACUGAGACACGGCCCAAACUCCUACGGGAGGCUGCAGUAGGGAAUCUUCCACAAUGGGCGCAAGCCUGAUGGAGCAACGCCGCGUGUGUGAUGAAGGCUUUCGGGUCGUAAAGCACUGUUGUAUGGGAAGAAAUGCUAAAAUAGGGAAUGAUUUUAGUUUGACGGUACCAUACCAGAAAGGGACGGCUAAAUACGUGCCAGCAGCCGCGGUAAUACGUAUGUCCCGAGCGUUAUCCGGAUUUAUUGGGCGUAAAGCGAGCGCAGACGGUUGAUUAAGUCUGAUGUGAAAGCCCGGAGCUCAACUCCGGAAUGGCAUUGGAAACUGGUUAACUUGAGUGUUGUAGAGGUAAGUGGAACUCCAUGUGUAGCGGUGGAAUGCGUAGAUAUAUGGAAGAACACCAGUGGCGAAGGCGGCUUACUGGACAACAACUGACGUUGAGGCUCGAAAGUGUGGGUAGCAAACAGGAUUAGAUACCCUGGUAGUCCACACCGUAAACGAUGAAUACUAGGUGUUAGGAGGUUUCCGCCUCUUAGUGCCGAAGCUAACGCAUUAAGUAUUCCGCCUGGGGAGUACGACCGCAAGGUUGAAACUCAAAGGAAUUGACGGGGACCCGCACAAGCGGUGGAGCAUGUGGUUUAAUUCGAAGCAACGCGAAGAACCUUACCAGGUCUUGACAUCCUUUGAAGCUUUUAGAGAUAGAAGUGUUCUCUUCGGAGACAAAGUGACAGGUGGUGCAUGGUCGUCGUCAGCUCGUGUCGUGAGAUGUUGGGUUAAGUCCCGCAACGAGCGCAACCCUUAUUGUUAGUUGCCAGCAUUCAGUUGGGCACUCUAGCGAGACUGCCGGUGACAAACCGGAGGAAGGCGGGGACGACGUCAGAUCAUCAUGCCCCUUAUGACCUGGGCUACACACGUGCUACAAUGGCGUAUACAACGAGUUGCCAACCUGCGAAGGUGAGCUAAUCUCUUAAAGUACGUCUCAGUUCGGACUGCAGUCUGCAACUCGACUGCACGAAGUCGGAAUCGCUAGUAAUCGCGGAUCAGCACGCCGCGGUGAAUACGUUCCCGGGUCUUGUACACACCGCCCGUCACACCAUGGGAGUUUGUAAUGCCCAAAGCCGGUGGCCUAAC
rnacentral:rRNA from 1 species